UUCCAGACUCCUACGGGAGGCAGCAGUGGGGAAUCUUCCGCAAUGGGCGAAAGCCUGACGGAGCAACGCCGCGUGAUCGAAUGAAGGCCUUCGGGUUGUAAAGAUCUGUUGACAGGGACGAAUAAGCAAUGCGAAUAGUUUUGUGUAUGACGGUACCUGUUUAGAAAGCUCCGGCUAACUACGUGCCAGCAGCCGCGGUAAUACGUAGGGAGCGAGCGUUGUCCGGAAUUACUGGGUGUAAAGGGAGCGUAGGCGGGCGAGAAAGUUGAAUGUUAAAUCUACCGGCUUAACUGGUAGCUGCGUUCAAAACUUCUUGUCUUGAGUGAAGUAGAGGCAGGCGGAAUUCCUAGUGUAGCGGUGAAAUGCGUAGAUAUUAGGAGGAACACCAGUGGCGAAGGCGGCCUGCUGGGCUUUAACUGACGCUGAGGCUCGAAAGCGUGGGGAGCAAACAGGAUUAGAUACCCCGGUAU
rnacentral:rRNA from 1 species